rnacentral:rRNA from 1 species
AGAGUUUGAUCCUGGCUCAGAUUGAACGCUGGCGGCAUGGCUAAAACAUGCAAGUCGAACGAUGAAAGCACCUUCGGGUGUGCAUGAAGUGGCGAAAGGGCGAGGAAUACGUUCCUACGUACCCCAAGGUCAGGGAUAGCCCCGGGAAACUGGGAGUAAUACCUGAUGACAUCUCCGGAUCAAAGGCUUCGGCCACCUUGGGAGCGGGGAACGCCCUAUCAGGUUGUUGGUGAGGUAACGGCUCACCAAGCCAAAGACGGGUAGCGGGUGUGAGAGCAUGACCCGCCGCAUCGGAACUGAGACACUGUCCGGACUCCUACGGGAGGCUGCAGUAACGAAUAUUCCGCAAUGCGCGAAAGCGUGACGGAGCAAUGCCGCGUGUGGGAUGAAUCUCUUCGGAGUGUAAACCACUGUCAGAGUUUAGGAACUCAAUGACCAGACUCAAAGGAAGGACCGGCUAACUUCGUGCCAGCAGCCGCGGUAAUACGAAGGGUCCGAGCGUUAAUCGGAAUCACUGGGCUUAAAGCGUGCGUAGGCGGACUUGAAGGCACCUUGUGAAAUCCCUCGGCUCAACCGAGGAACUGCAGGGUGAACCAUGAGUCUCGAGACAGGUAGAGGUUGUCGGAACGAUAGGUGGAGUGGUGAAAUGCGUUGAUAUCUAUCGGAACGCCAAUGGAGAAGUCAGGCAACUGGGCCUGUUCUGACGCUGAGGCACGAAAGCGUGGGUAGCGAACGGGAUUAGAUACCCCGGUAGUCCACGCCGUAAACGAUGCGUACUAGGUUGGGGAAGCUCUGACGCUGUUCCCGGCUGAAGCAAAAGUAUUAAGUACGCCGCCUGGGGAGUACGGUCGCAAGGCUAAAACUCAAAGGAAUUGACG